rnacentral:tRNA from 1 species
UCCCUAGUAGCUCAGUUGGUAAAGAAUCUACCUGCAAUGCAGGAGACCUGGGUUCAACUCCCAGUUUGGAAA